rnacentral:rRNA from 1 species
GGAGGAUCAUUAUCGUAGGGCUUCGGCCCUGUCGAGAUAGAACCCUUGCCUUUUUGAGUACCUUUCGUUUCCUCGGCAGGCUCGCCUGCCAAUGGGGACCACAAAAAACACUUUGCAGUACCUGUAACAGUCUGAACAAACAAACAAAAAUUAAAACUUUCAACAACGGAUCUCUUGGUUCUGGCAUCGAUGAAGAACGCAGCGAAAUGCGAUAAGUAGUGUGAAUUGCAGAAUUCAGUGAAUCAUCGAAUCUUUGAACGCACAUUGCGCCCUUUGGUAUUCCUUAGGGCAUGCCUGUUCGAGCGUCAUUUAAACCCUCAAGCUAAGCUUGGUGUUGGGUGACUGUCCGCUUCACGGCGGACUCGCCUCAAAAUUAUUGGCGGCCGGUACAUUGGCUUCGAGCGCAGCAGAAACGCGAACUCGGGCCCGUCGUAUUGGCUCCCAGAAGCUAUCUUCACAAUUUUGACCUCGGAUCAGGUAGGGAUACCCGCUGAACUUAAGCAUAUCAAUAAGCGGAGGA